rnacentral:rRNA from 1 species
AGUGAACGCUGGCGGUAGGCCUAACACAUGCAAGUCGAACGGCAGCACAGGAGAGCUUGCUCUCUGGGUGGCGAGUGGCGGACGGGUGAGGAAUACAUCGGAAUCUACUCUGUCGUGGGGGAUAACGUAGGGAAACUUACGCUAAUACCGCAUACGACCUACGGGUGAAAGCAGGGGAUCUUCGAACCUGGCGCGAUUGAAUGAGCCGAUGUCGGAUUAGCUAGUUGGCGGGGUAAAAGCCCACCAAGGCGACGAUCCGUAGCUGGUCUGAGAGGAUGAUCAGCCACACUGGAACUGAGACACGGUCCAGACUCCUACGGGAGGCAGCAGUGGGGAAUAUUGGACAAUGGGCGCAAGCCUGAUCCAGCCAUACCGCGUGGGUGAAGAAGGCCUUCGGGUUGUAAAGCCCUCUUGUUGGGAAAGAAAUCCAGCUGGUUAAUACCCGGUUGGGAUGACGGUACCCAAAGAAUAAGCACCGGCUAACUUCGUGCCAGCCGCCGCCGUAA